rnacentral:rRNA from 1 species
GAUGAACGCUGGCGGCGUGCCUAAUACAUGCAAGUCGAGCGAACAGACGAGGAGCUUGCUCCUCUGACGUUAGCGGCGGACGGGUGAGUAACACGUGGAUAACCUACCUAUAAGACUGGGAUAACUUCGGGAAACCGGAGCUAAUACCGGAUAAUAUAUUGAACCGCAUGGUUCAAUAGUGAAAGACGGUUUUGCUGUCACUUAUAGAUGGAUCCGCGCCGCAUUAGCUAGUUGGUAAGGUAACGGCUUACCAAGGCAACGAUGCGUAGCCGACCUGAGAGGGUGAUCGGCCACACUGGAACUGAGACACGGUCCAGACUCCUACGGGAGGAAGCAGUAGGGAAUCUUCCGCAAUGGGCGAAAGCCUGACGGAGCAACGACGCGUGAGUGAUGAAGGUCUUCGGAUCGUAAAACUCUGUUAUUGGGGAAGAACAAAUGUGUAAGUAAAUAUGCACGUCUUGACGGUACCUAAUCAGAAAGCCACGGCUAACUACGUG